rnacentral:lncRNA from 1 species
AAAGAAAUCAAAGACAGAUAUUUUAAGCUUAUUAUAUGUCUUUGUUUUCUUCGAAGUGCUUCAUAUGUUACUUCAUAAACAUUAACAAUUCAUUCAGCAAACAGCAUUUGUACGCACCAAAUUGAAACUAACAUCAAGCCUGUCUUUUCCCUAUUUAACAGGUUAUUUCCUUCUCUCUUUAAGAUUUCAUCAUUAACUAGCAAAUAUUAGGAAUGAAGAUUCUCAAGGAUGAAACCUUGUUAUCUGAUAUUAUAUGAAAACCAUUAUGUUCACAUUACUAAAAUAAAUAAGGAAUGAUCGUGGACAUUUAAGCUAAAUUUCUAGUUCUGUCCAUCUGACAGAAGUAAAAUUUUCUCAUGGUUACAUAUUCUUCCCUAUAACAUAUUUUAUUUGCAAUUCUUCACUGUGUUACUAAAAUGAACUGUUUUGGGUAGAGUAAAUGUAACAGAGCUAAACCAUUCUAAAAUGUGGUUCCAUUUUCUCUAAUCUUCUCCUUUAAGGUUUUUGCUAGUUUGUCUCUUUAUUUCUACUGGAAUUUCUCCAGAAACAAAAUGCAUUCCUCACAAGCCAAAUAUUGAAUUCAGCCAGGUCACAAUAUCGAAAGACAAUUUUCAUCAUGCUAAAGAAAUGAGGAGAAUUUAUUAUGUCGGCAUGCUAAAUCUGAACAUGCUCCAGUAUGUCAUUCAGAAAAAUCUACUUGAUAUUGCAGGAAUAAAGUCCAGGGACACUCUCAAAAGAAGCUCUUGCAAUGCAAAUCAAAAUAAAUGGCAAGUUUACGGGCUUAUUAACUCGGACUCAUAGCAAGUUUUGGUUCACAACCCAGUUAAUUUUAUUUGCUCCAUAAAAAACAUAAUCAUUAUAACGAUAGUAGUGGAUGGUGUCAUCAUGUCAUGCAAACAAUAAAGCAAGGUUUUCAAACACAGUAUUGGGUAUUGCAUGGGCCCUCAACUUUGGUGAUCUUCAAAAUCUGUAUCGGCAACUUUAUGGGGUAAAAACAAAAUCUAAAAUUUUUAAAAAAGACAUAAAAUUAUGUAAAAUGAGAAGUGCCUGGUUCUCUAACCCCAAUCGCCGAUAGCAUAUCCUGGGUCACAGACAGCACUGGGUAAAUCCCACAGAUUCGAGCCAAUGCCCAAGGCAGGUUCCCUACCAAAACCCAUCUGGAUCAGCAAUUUUUAAAACCUUGUAAUAAAGCAACCUGGAAAUCCAGUACCAGGGAUUAGUGGACUUUUAAGGAAAGGGUCCUCCUCUAUUUAUUAGGCCCAAUAGAUUUUUUAUUACUACUUUUGCAGAGGUGAAAUCCCUAAUAGCUUUGAAGUUUUGUGCUCAAAGGGUAUACACCCCAGCCAUAGCCAAAACGUUAUUAGAUUGGCUAUAGGGGUAACUACUCCCCCAUGGCGCAUGGCUAUGAUUUUUGACAAGAUCACAAAUUCAAGACCCUCGUGUAUCCUUUCUUUCCAACUUGCCUUGAAGCAACCAAAGACAUAGUUGACGCAUUAGCUUAUGAGGGCAUCGUGUGCGAUGGCCUUUUAGUUGCAUCAACUUUUCUUAACCAUUGAGAUGCUGCUUUGGCAUUUCUUUGGUGCUCUCAGGAUCGAUAUUUUGUACUUUACCAAUAUCCAAAAAAACAAAAAGAAGAAGAUAAAAGCAACUGCAAAAGAUAAUAAAGUAUACCUACUUUUCUCUUGUGUAUGUUAACAGAACUUGAGUUUUAUUAACAGAUGAAGACUUCCAAUGCAUGCUAUAUAUAGAAAACUUUAUGGUUAUAUUGAGGGAUUUCUGCCAGAAAGAAAUAAUCAGGAAAUGAUGCUUGCUACAAAUUUUUUUAAAGAAAAGAAAUUUAGUUACUAACUGCACCAAAGUUACUUGCUGCUCUAUAAAAUACGCAAACAUUUUCUCGCUUGUAUGCAGUUCGUCUGAAAAUAACAUUUAUUGCAUCUCACAGUAUACAGUACGAUCCAUUUAACCAAAUUUAAAAAGUACUAUAAAAAAACACUUAAAACAAUCACAAAAUGGUCAAAGCAACCUAUUAAAUUUCAGCAUCUAGAUAUAAAGAGAAUUUAGUUGUGGAACCAAUAGGUGAUAAUAUGAGGGAAAGUAGACUUAGGUGGGUUUGCUAUGUGUGUUGUAGACCUAGUACAAAUACUUGAUUAGGAGGUGCGAGUUAGUUCAGGUAGAAGGCUCAAAAAGGUAAAAGGUAUGCCCAAAAAGACAUGGUUGGAAGUAGUGAGAAAAGAUAUGAGACUGAUGGCUUCACUGAGGGUAUGGCCCUAAUAAGCAGAAUGACAAACCAGGAUUCAUGUAGACGACACUAAUUAGUUAGGCAAAAGGCUCUGACGAUGAUGAUGCAAAUAAAAUAUCCACGAAAGGAAAUUUAUCAACCUGCUUGAGGUCAUCCUAAAAUCCCUCGCCUCAACAUAUGAUAAGAAAAUCCCAUAUCAUAAUCGUUGAAAAUUCAUUACUGCAAGACAUAUUGAAAUUGCGAUAUUUCACAAUCAGUGCAUAAUGAUAAUCUAUCCCUAUGAGGACAUUUUGGUCUACUCGACCAUUGCGAUAUGGUUGUGCAAGUCUAUGACUAAACCAGCCACUAAAGUUUCACUUUCACCGUUUCAGUGUACAUUUACUUGGAAAAAUAUAUGCUCUAGAUCAUUUAAGAAUAUUGAAGAUAUAGAUGACCAAGUAAUACAAUGACGAACCUCUAAGCCAUUGAUAGGCAUGAGCCUCAUGCCAUUGACUGGUUGAAGCAAGUUGUUAAAAUGGGGCAAUUUUUUCUAUCGAGUACUGAGGACCCAAAAAUCCAUCAACCUAACAAUUCCAGCAUACUCCUAAUGGUCAAUCCAUGUAAAGCUAAGAGCUAGGACCACUGGCACAAGUUUAUCUGCAAAAUCAAAAUGCUUCCCCUUCCUAUACAUGUCCUCGUGGUAGAACCUAAGUUACCUAACAACUCCAAAAUUAACUCAAUAGUACAAUUGGCCUUCCUGUUGUGAACAAUCAAGUUUUUUGUUUAUUUUUCUUUCAUUUAAGCCCCUGAGGACAUUUUUGUCAUUUCCCUUUCUUAAGGGGCAUUUUUGUGCUUUUGUAUUUUUGUUAUUAAAUAAAAGGGUUCAAUCCCAUUGUCGAGGGCACCUAGCAUGCCUAAAGGAAGUAGAAAACUGAAAGCAAGUUAUAGCUUCUCAACCACUCCUUAAAAUGAGUCCAAAGAGCAUACUCAAUAGAGAGAGAACAAGCGUAAGAACCUAGAUUCAAGGAGAUCAAACAAGUGUUGGGUUUUUGUGGCAUUUAAAGGCCUAGAGAGCUUAUAAAAAUGAUAUUUAUAGUGGAAUAGCACUUCAAUGGGAGUGCAUGUGUUGACUGAUUAAGGGUUGAGCGUUUUAUGGCCCUAGUCAUGUCCAAAUUGGCCUUGGGCAUGUGGCAUUACUGAGAAGAAUUUGCAGAGGGUCAUCUCUUGUUGAAGUCAAAGAGAUACCCAGGGAUCAUAUUUGUAGUACAGGAAAACUGUGUGGUCUCCUUUGUGCUGUUGCAGGCCUGUGAGAGCAAGGGCCAAAACCUCACAAACUUUUGCACGGCAUGUACACAUGACAACUGCAUUACUGGGAAGCAGCUCUUUUAGAGGAACACGUAUACAUGUGCAUAGGGAGUGCCCCUUUUGCACUGUGGUCAUAAAUGCUAGCCUUGUUCUUAAAAGGGGGAACUGAAAUCCAUAUUCCAGGAUCAUGGUCCCACUGUUUAUUAUCCAACUUAGACGUGCCAAUCAUGAGCCUUUGCUUUGAGACUGUGGGUCAUAAGUCUUUGUUGGAUUGAAUAAGAAAUAGUAUUGGAUCAAGGUUUCUGGGCGAGUGGAGUGCACUUAGUGUUGCUAAUUUUUGACCUAUUGGUACUACUCCACUCUUAGUAUAUUUUAUUUUGAUAUUAUAGAUGUUUCCAUGAUUUUUUAGAUAUUUUUCAGAAUUUUAAAAUAUCAUUUCUGCUGUAUUUUUCAUAAAAAGGUAUUUCUGAAAUUUCAUAACUUUAUAUAGCACAUGUGGGGCCUGCCCCCACAUGUGUGUGCGACCCAUGUGAGGCCCACAUGACCUCACAGGUAGCACGCUACUUUUUAUGCUGAGAGGCACGCCAAUUUUCUAGCAAAAAUAUGGCCCGCCACUUUUUAAGCUAAGGGUUUUGGACUAAGACCAUAAACCGCCCAACUCUUAGUCAAUACACACUCUCCCACUAAAGUGCAUAUUCCACGAUAAAUAUCAUUUUUGCAAGCUCUUUGGGCCUUUAAAGGUCAUAAAAACCCAACAUCUCCCACUUGGCCUUUGAAAGCCAUACAAUCAUUCCCUUUCAAUUUCUCUCAAGCCCAUCCCAUGUACAUGUCUGGUAAAAACAUUCGCUACCAAUCCUUUUAUCAAAGGAUCUGCUAACAUAAUCUCUGUCAGGAGAUGUGCAAUCAGAAUCUCUCAUGCUCGGAUCUCGUUGUGAAUGUGGUAGUAGCAUGGGAAACCUUGGCCUUUUGACACACAAAUAGUUGCCUGGUUGUCAAAGAAGAUUCUGACACACGGGCACUUCACUGGAUCAAAUAUGAGUUAAUUCAGGAACUUCUGCAACCAGAUUGCUUCUUUAGCCACGAAACAACAUGCCACAUACUCUGACUCCACAGACGAGAGUGCAACAAUAUCGUGUUUCUUUGAGCACUAAGAAAUAGCUCCACUUGCAAGUAUGAAGACAUAUCCAGAUGUGGACUUACUUUAAUCUGGAUCGCCCUAAUAGUCCGCAUCUGAAUAUCCUUGUGGCUGUAUAUCCGAGCCUCCCCCAUAAGCAAGUGCGUAAUUAAUCCUUCACCCUUCAAAUAUCACAAUACUCUUUUGAUGACUUUCCAGCGCUCCAUGCCUAAAUGAGUCUAAAACCUUCUAAUCAAACUCAUGGCAAAAGAUAAAUCUAGUAUUAUCCUUGGCAUAGCAUACAUUAGUGAACCAACUGCACUUAUGUAUUGAAUUCUCUGCAUUGCUUCAUUUUCUCCAGAAGUAGUGGGACACAUGGCUAAGCUAAGCUUGAUCUUCUUAUCAAUGGGGGUUAAUAUGGGCCAAUAAUUUUCUAUUUCAAAUCUUUCAAGAAUUUUCUUACAAUAUGUCUCUUGAGUUUGGGUAAUUUUGAUUCCCAAAAUAUAUUGUGACAAGAAAGCUUUUGUCUCCAAUACGAGACUCAUUGAACUAUGGGCAAUUAACAUGUCAUCCACAUAUAGAGAGAUGAAAACCACUUCACUCCCACUGACCUUGACAUAUAUACAGUAGUCCUCUUUGUUUGGCACAAAACUAGCAGAAGACAAGGUCCCCUAAAACUUAAUGUACCACUGCCUUGAUGCUUGUUUAAGGCCAUAAAGAGACUUAUUUAGUUUACACAUUAGGUUUUCCUUUCCCUUUUCUAUGAAGCCCUCUAGUUGCUUUAUAUAAUUUUUUUCUUCUAACUGUCCAUGCAAAAAUACAGUCUUAACAUCCAUCAGAUGGAGUUCGAAGUCGAAAUGGACUGUUAUAGCUAUUAGGAUUCUAAUGGAAGGGAAUUUUGCUACAAGGGAGAAGGUUUCAUCAUAAUCUAUUCCUUCUUUUCGGGUAAAGCCUUUAGCAAUUAAUCUGGCUUUGUAUUUCUCCAACUUCCUUUCUAAGUUUAAUUUUUUCUUAUAAAUCGACUUGCAGCCUGGUUUCACUAGUCCCCAAACAUUGUUUAGUUUGAUCGAGUUAAGUUCAUCAAUCAUGGCUUCUUUCCAUUGUGUCUUUUCAUGAUAGGUUAUGGCUUCUUGGUAGGAAUAGGGUGGAUUCUUCUUCAAUUCUCUCAUAAUAUUCUCCUAAGUAGGUGAAGAACUCAGGUUUUCUCCUAAUUCGAUUACUUCUCCUAGGACGAGGUGGUUCGUGAUCCAUGGCUUGACUUGUUUCAUUUUCUAUCUCAUAAAACUUGGCUCAUUUCAAAGUGGCACGAUCCUCGAGAAAUUCUUCCUCAAGGAAAUGACCGUCCCUACUCUCAAGGACAACCCUUGUGUCAGGGCUAUAAAAACGGUAUCCUUUACCGUGUGGUAGGUAUCAUAUGAAGAUGGACUUAACAGUUUUUGUCAUAACAACUUCUCCUCAAAAUCUAGGGAGAGCUUAGCAUGUCCCAUCAUACUCCUCACCAUUUCUAUCAGCGUCUUAUGCUGUCUCUAAGCUACCCCAUUUUGCUAAGGAGUGUACGACAUAAUAUACUAAUGUUCAAUAUCAUGCUCAGUACAUAAUUCUUUAAAUAGUCAUGAGGAAUAUUCUCAACCCCUAUUCGAUCUAAAGACUUAACUUUCUAGUUUGUUUGGGUUUCUACCUCGGCUUUAUACUCUUUGAACCGGUUUAGGGCUUCAGACUUUUCAUUUAUCAAAUAGACACGACCAAAACGGGAGUGAUCAUCUAUAAAUUACGAACCUUAGUGGCCACAUUCAUAGUCCCACAAAUAUCACUAUGGACAACCUCUAAUAUGUCAGUAGCUCUCUGAGCAUUCGCAAAAGAUUUCUUAACCAGCUUUCCUUGAACACAUGAUUCACAGACUCUGGUUGAGUCUCCAUUUAGAUUACUUAACAAUCCCUAUCUUUUUAAUCUCUCCAUCUUUUCAGGAUUAUGUGCCCAACUCUCAUGUGCCAUAUAUCCACAUUAUCAUUGUCAUCAUUAUAACAUGAGACAUAAGAAAUGGAUUCCUUUAUUGCAACUGAAAAGAAACCACUACAAGAUGACCAUUCAUGACUAAUUCAUCUCCAUAUUUCACCUCCACCUUAUUACCACUGAAAAUGGCGGCGAAGCCUGCCUUAGCCCAUAUUGCGACAGAAACCAAACACUUCCUCGUCUCAGGAGCAUAAAGAGUUCACUUUAGACCAUGUUUUUUCCAUUUUCAAGUUGAACGAUGAAUCUUCAAUGCCCAAGAUUUCAGUCUUUUCAUUCCCACCCAUAUAGUUAUGCUAAUCCCUAGGGGCAACAUGCUUGAAAUUUAUAUUUCCAUUCUUGGUAUUUGACACAUGAGCAGUGGACCUAGAGUCAAAACACCAAGACCCUACUUUAGGGUUAGCUAACAUAGUCUCAAUAACCACACAAGCAUGCUCCCUAUCGUCCUUAGGAUUCACAUUCUUGGGUGCUCUGCAAUACUUUGUAAUGUGCCCAAAUUUCUUGUAGCUAGCAUUGAGUAAUCUUAAAAUCCUUCUUCUUCUUAGACCCAUUAUACUCUUUUUCAUUCUCAUUCAUUUUGUUCUUAUCCUUUCCUUUGCCUUUCUUUUUCUUGAAUGAACCAGAGAUGGGUUUAAGGUUCACCAAAUUUAUGGAGUCAUUAAAGGAUGAAGCAUCACGAGAUAAUCUCCUUUCUUCCUCAACUUAAGUUUGGUGAUGAUCUCGUCUAACUUCGGUAUGGUCUCCCUUGCAAUAUGGCCAGAAAUGAAGUUUUGCCAUGAGCUCAGCAUAGAAUUCAGCAACUGGCAGAUUUGCAUGCUUUCAUCUAGCUUAACAUGUGCAGCCUCGUUCACGAACUAAAGCUCUAAACUAUUGUAUAAGCCCAGUAAACUUGCCUCUUUCAUUUACAAAUCUGAAUAUUGUUUCAUAGCCAUUGUCUUCCUAGUGAGCGAAGCUGAGGCAUAAUCGGUCUCAAAUCGUUCAUGAAUCUCCUUCACAGCUUUGAAGUGCUCAUAUUCAAGAGCAUGGGUGUCAUCCAUGGCCAUAAGUAGCACAUCCUUUGCACAUGGGUGUCAUCCAUCGCCAUAAGUAGCACAUGCUUUGCUAGAGUGUUUUUGCGCUCCCACUGAGCAUAAGCUUCUCUUAUAACUGCCUUUCACAAGUGUUUCUUCUUGGGAUAGGUGGGGCCUCAUCAAGAAGUAUUUGGCUAAGUUCCUCUUCAAAGAGGACAUAGCCUAUUUUACUCUUCCAACUAGAAUAGUUCUUCCCAUCAAAUCUUUCAAACUUCAUAAAUUCUGCUAAGAAACUUUUUGAAGUCAUUUUUCUUAGACCAAAUAAAAAUAAAACUCCUAAAUUGCCGUAAAAUAUAGAGUCUCCGAUACCAAUGAAAAGUGUGGCUAUGUGGAAAUAAAGAUAUUAUAUUCAACAAGAAGCUUAGAAAUAGAAAGACCAGAUAUAUGAAAAGAAGAUAACUCUCAAGCAUGAAGAUUGGAGAGAAGGUAAAGAAACCUUGUAAUUUAUUUCAAAUCGAUAGUUUUAUUGAAAUUUUCAGUUUUUUGUUUCGUGGUAAAGUUUACUCCUUGAGAAUUAGACAUUAUCCACAUGGGACAUAGUUAUUGGAGUGUGAACCCAAAAGGCCCAGAGAAGAAUGUCUCCAAAUGAAUGAUGUUACAAUCAGAGAAACUUGAGCAGAGUUCUCAUUGAUUAGAAUUUGGGAAUAAUCCCAUAACAUAUGGUUGGGUUGUACAAAGUACAUAAAUACCCCUCAUACAGUUUUGUGAGAAAACUACCUCAAACUAAUUAAAAAAUUAAACAGACUAAAAAAAAAUUACACAGACUAAAGUAAGACUAACAUACAUCUCAACAUCCCCUAAGAAACUGAAACAUCAGAGAAAAAUACACUACAAACAUACAUCUCAAGACCUCCCUCAAACGGGCAUAUGAAUAGCACUCAGCAACAGUUUUCUCACUACGAUACUAAAGAUGUUGUUUACUAAGAACUCUGGUAAGUAUGUCAGCAAAUAUAAAGGAGAGCAAGAAGGCUACGAGUAAAUCAUUCUCGAAUGGAAUGAAAUUCAGCCUAAAUAGGCUUGGUCCGAUCAUGAAAUAAAGCAUUGGUAGCAAUCCUGAUCGCAUUCAUAUUAUCCCCACAGAGAGGUGUACAUGAUGGAGGAAGGACAGUAAAAUAAGAGAGAAGCAUGUGAAUCUAGAGAUUUCAUCAAAUGUAAAUAUCAGCACAAUACUUGGCUUUGAAAAUUGAUUUGGUAUCCAUAUCUUGUUCCUGCAUGGUAAGGAAACCAGUGAAUAACCAAGCAAAAUACAGUACCAUGUUGUCAAUCUACAAGUGUCUUAACAAAUUCAGUAGAGGCCAACAAUCAGAGGAUGCUAGGAAAAAGAGACCACGAUCAAGUGUAGAGCAAAUAUAUCGAAUGAUGUGAUGAACAAAACCAUAUGAGUUGAGCUAGGAGCCAAUAGAAUGAACUGCAAAAUCCAGUAUAAUAAUGAGAUACCGCAGUCCAGAAACUAGUUGCGAGUAUGGAUUUGGAUCAGGUAAUGGGUCGCCCAUCGAAUGAAGGAAACAGAACAUUAGGUUUUCCUGGGGUACUUAGGAUAUUAGUGUUAGUAAUGGCUUGGGAGAUAAGAUUACAAGCAUACUUGCACUUAGUAACAAUGAUCCCCCAUGUACACUGAGUAAUCUCUAUUCCAAGAAAAUAUGAUAAGUCCCCUGUAUGUCACUUGCAACUGCUGCUGUAAAAUGUUUCACAUGAGGUUGAGGGAUGUGAUCAACAUAGAGAAGAAAUCUGCCUUCCCAUCUAAAUUAUGCACAAAUAAGGACAGGUCUGCAAUGCAAGAAAUAAGAGAUGCAGAAAGAGAGAGAACACAAGGUAGGGCUGCAAGUACAAUUCCACAUUGUUUAUUUGUGAAGUGACAAAUCACACUAUAACUUACAUAUUACAACUUAGGGCACAAUAUCACAUUAAUACCCUUUACAUGUAUAAACAAUGAUAGCCCUUACAUGUACAACACAUGACUUUACAUUAAACUGAACAUUACAGAAAUACCCCUGCACAUCAAUUCUUAACACAAGAA